rnacentral:rRNA from 1 species
GGCGGCAUGCCUAAUACAUGCAAGUCGAACGGUAACAGGUCGCUGUGAUCCCUUCGGGGUGAACUUGAUGCUGACGAGUGGCGGACGGGUGAGUAAUACUUAGGAAUCUGCCCAGUAGUGGGGGACAACAUUCGGAAACGGAUGCUAAUACCGCAUACGCACUACGGUGGAAAGUGGGGGAUCUUCGGACCUCACGCUAUUGGAUGAGCCUAAGUCGGAUUAGCUUGUUGGUGAGGUAAUGGCUCACCAAGGCGACGAUCUGUAGCUGGUCUGAGAGGACGAUCAGCCACACUGGGACUGAGACACGGCCCAGACUCCUACGGGAGGCAGCAGUGGGGAAUCUUGGUCAAUGGGCGAAAGCCUGAACCAGCGAUGCCGCGUGUGUGAAGAAGGCCCUAGGGUUGUAAAGCACUUUCAGUAGAGAAGAAAAGCUUAAGGUUAAUACCCUUGAGUCUUGACGUAACCUACAGAAGAAGCACCGGCUAACUCCGUG